GGAAGCUACCAUGUCAUCCUGAACCUGGGUUUUUUUUCUUCUUGAAUGUUUCAUGUCUAAGUGGCUAAUGGAUUUGAAGACGAAGAAUGUCAGGAGAAGAGAGGUGGAUUUUGGUUUAUGCCACUGUCAACAUUUAAUUCACCCCUCCUUACAAAAUAAUUGAAUUGGCCCUGUUGGAGCUAGCAAAAGGAAACCAAAGACUAUGUUGAUAUCAUCAGUGCACAGGAGAAUAUUCACCAUGCACAGUUAUGAAGAUCUCAUCCCUUCCUUCUUCAGGACGUUUUUAUGGAUGCUGUAUCACUUGUGUUAUUUGAUAGUGAAUGUUUAUUACUAUUCUCUUCUAUCCUCUUUCCUAUCUACUGUCUAAAGGGUGAAUCCUAACUUUCAUUAGAGUGGAUUUUCAUGCAUUGAUAUCAAUGGGAGACUAAGUGAAAAUUCUAUUUAGGAUUCACACCGAGGUUCACUUGUCAGCAUGGACUCAUGCUAUAGUGGUGUAAGGGGUUUAAAAGGACUUGAGAUGGUUUGAAUGCCUUACUAAGAGAAAAAUCUGCAUGUUUUAAAGUACUGGCUGAGCACCAUGUUGAUCUCUAUUCUCUCAGCCCAACUGUUAUCACAACGCCCUCAAAUGGUGGCUAUGAGAACUGACCAGUCACAAGAACGGACCAGUCUCUUCCAAAUGAUGUAUAUGAGCAAUACUGAAACACUUUUACACAGUUGUGAACGGGACACAUCCAAACGACGGUACUAAUGUAGGAUAUGCCCAUUAGGAAACAUCUGUUGUAGAGAAUACAUUUCUUAUUUGAUCUGACACCGUAAGACCCAUGUGUCUCUCUCUCUGGAUUAAGACCACGGGGUGUGUCUCUGCUCUGACUGGGUUUGUGCCACUGCACCACAGUGGGGGGAGAAAGAUGGGGGGGAGAGAGAGAGUAGGGAGGGGGAUAAAGGGGAGAGGGAUAGAGAGAGAAUGGUAGGGAGGAGAGGCGUAGAGGACGGGGGCUGGGAGAAAAGGGAAACGUGAAGGAUGGAGAGAAAGGGUAAAGGGGAGUGAUGCUCUGUGGCUCCUGUCAUUGGUCAGUGAGGAGGAGGAGAGAAGAGCAUCCUUCCUUGGAAAACAGAAAAAGUGCUGACUCACUAUGCUGCAUGGGAGUAGAGGCAACAGCCAAUCAGAACCCUCAUCCUCUUCUCAGACACAAUGGCCCUGUUUUUAACUGGAGUAGGAUGAGAGUGAUUUAAGGUCAGUUUUCUUGUUUUUCACCUCAAUGGUUAGGGUUAGGAUUUGGGGAGGGGAAGCUGAUUAUAGAUCUGUGCUUGUCAGCAACGUCUAUAUGGAGGUAUUUUAACACAAUGCAUUUUAAAAGUGCUUUUUGUCUCAAAAAUGGUCCUAAAUUGAAAUGGAUAAAUUGGACAGAUCGUCAGAAGGACUGGAGAACACUGGUGUAUGGGGAGAGUGGCACCUACACAGAAAGUAAUACAGAGAUAUAUCUUUUUAUAGAAGAGAAAUGCAUAUAUGAGAGAUGUAUUGUAGAUAUUAGAGUUUAUAAUGACUUUAUGGGUACAGUAUGUUCAAAUGACUACUCUGGGCAUUUUAACAGGGGAAAAAUCCGAGGGGUUUUGCAUUAAAAAAAAUGUACAGAAUUAAAAAGAUUCACAAGUUUCA
rnacentral:lncRNA from 1 species